AGUGAACGCUGGCGGUAGGCCUAACACAUGCAAGUCGAACGGCAGCACAGUAAGAGCUUGCUCUUACGGGUGGCGAGUGGCGGACGGGUGAGGAAUACAUCGGAAUCUACUUUUUCGUGGGGGAUAACGUAGGGAAACUUACGCUAAUACCGCAUACGACCUACGGGUGAAAGCAGGGGAUCUUCGGACCUUGCGCGAUUGAAUGAGCCGAUGUCGGAUUAGCUAGUUGGCGGGGGAAAGGCCCACCAAGGCGACGAUCCGUAGCUGGCCUGAGAGGAGGAGAGGGCACACUGGAACUGGGCGACGGUCCAGACGCAAACGGGCGGCAGCAGGAGGGAAUGUGACGAAAUGGGCGAAGGUUUGAAGGAGCAAUGACGCGGGAGUGAUGAAGGUCUUCGGAUCGGAAAACGCUGCGAGGAGGGAAGAAAAAAUGUGUAAGGAACUAUGCACGGCUUGACGGUACCUAAGAAGAAAGCAAAGGCUAAUUAAGGG
rnacentral:rRNA from 1 species